CUGCGAAGGGGGGACGGAGAAGGCUAUGUUGGCCGGGCGACGGUUGUCCCGGUUUAAGCGUGUAGGCUGGUUUUCCAGGCAAAUCCGGAAAAUCAAGGCUGAGGCGUGAUGACGAGGCACUACGGUGCUGAAGCGACAAAUGCCCUGCUUCCAGGAAAAGCCUCUAAGCAUCAGGUAACAUCAAAUCGUACCCCAAACCGACACAGGUGGUCAGGUAGAGAAUACCAAGGCGCUUGAGAGAACUCGGGUGAAGGAACUAGGCAAAAUGGUGCCGUAACUUCGGGAGAAGGCACGCUGAUAUGUAGGUGAAGCGACUUGCUCGUGGAGCUGAAAUCAGUCGAAGAUACCAGCUGGCUGCAACUGUUUAUUAAAAACACAGCACUGUGCAAACACGAAAGUGGACGUAUACGGUGUGACGCCUGCCCGGUGCCGGAAGGUUAAUUGAUGGGGUUAGCGGUAACGCGAAGCUCUUGAUCGAAGCCCCGGUAAACGGCGGCCGUAACUAUAACGGUCCUAAGGUAGCGAAAUUCCUUGUCGGGUAAGUUCCGACCUGCACGAAUGGCGUAAUGAUGGCCAGGCUGUCUCCACCCGAGACUCAGUGAAAUUGAACUCGCUGUGAAGAUGCAGUGUACCCGCGGCAAGACGGAAAGACCCCGUGAACCUUUACUAUAGCUUGACACUGAACAUUGAGCCUUGAUGUGUAGGAUAGGUGGGAGGCUUUGAAGUGUGGACGCCAGUCUGCAUGGAGCCGACCUUGAAAUACCACCCUUUAAUGUUUGAUGUUCUAACGUGGGCCCCUUACCGGGGUUGCGGACAGUGUCUGGUGGGUAGUUUGACUGGGGCGGUCUCCUCCUAAAGAGUAACGGAGGAGCACGAAGGUUGGCUAAUCCUGGUCGGACAUCAGGAGGUUAGUGCAAUGGCAUAAGCCAGCUUGACUGCGAGCGUGACGGCGCGAGCAGGUGCGAAAGCAGGUCAUAGUGAUCCGGUGGUUCUGAAUGGAAGGGCCAUCGCUCAACGGAUAAAAGGUACUCCGGGGAUAACAGGCUGAUACCGCCCAAGAGUUCAUAUCGACGGCGGUGUUUGGCACCUCGAUGUCGGCUCAUCACAUCCUGGGGCUGAAGUAGGUCCCAAGGGUAUGGCUGUUCGCCAUUUAAAGUGGUACGCGAGCUGGGUUUAGAACGUCGUGAGACAGUUCGGUCCCUAUCUGCCGUGGGCGCUGGAGAACUGAGGGGGGCUGCUCCUAGUACGAGAGGACCGGAGUGGACGCAUCACUGGUGUUCGGGUUGUCAUGCCAAUGGCACUGCCCGGUAGCUAAAUGCGGAAGAGAUAAGUGCUGAAAGCAUCUAAGCACGAAACUUGCCCCGAGAUGAGUUCUCCCUGACUCCUUGAGAGUCCUGAAGGAACGUUGAAGACGACGACGUUGAUAGGCCGGGUGUGUAAGCGCAGCGAUGCGUUGAGCUAACCGGUACUAAUGAACCGUGAGGCUUAACCUUACAACGCCGAAG
rnacentral:rRNA from 1 species